AGCUCCAAUAGCGUAUAUUAAAGUUGUUGCAGUUAAAAAGCUCGUAGUUGGAUCUCGGGUCCAGGCAACCGGUACGCCUCGCGGCUGUUACUGGCUGUCCUGUCCCACUGGCCGGUUUCGCCUUGGUGCUCUUAAUUGAGUGUCUCGGAGUGUCGGAAUGUUUACUUUGAAAAAAUUAGAGUGUUCAAAGCAGGCUAUCGCCUGAAUAAUGGUGCAUGGAAUAAUGGAAUAGGACCUCGGUUCUAUUUUGUUGGUUUUCGGAACUCGAGGUAAUGAUUAAGAGGGACAGGCGGGGGCAUUCGUAUUACGGUGUUAGAGGUGAAAUUCUUGGAUCGCCGUAAGACGAACUACUGCGAAAGCAUUUGCCAAGUAUGUUUUCAUUAAUCAAGAACGAAAGUAC
rnacentral:rRNA from 1 species